AGAAUCAACGCUGGCGGCGUGCCUCGGACAUGCAAGUCGAACGCGAAAGGUUCCUUCGGGAACCGAGUAGAGUGGCGCACGGGUGAGUAACACGUAGGUAAUUUGCCUUUGGGUGGGAAUAACAGCCGGAAACGGCUGCUAAUACCGCAUAAUGCAGCGGACUCGACAUCGAGACUAGUUGUAAAGGCGGGGAUCGACAAGCCUCGCGACCUAAAGAGAGCCUGACGGCAGAUUAGCUUUGUUGGUAAGGGUAACGCCUAACGAAGGCGACGAUCU
rnacentral:rRNA from 1 species